GAACGACUCUCGGCAACAGUUAUCUCGUCUCUCGCAUCGAUGAAGAACGUAGCGAAAUGCGAUAAUUGGUGCGAAUUGUAGAAUCCCGUGAACCAUCGAAAUUUUUGAACUCAAGUUGUGCCCUAGGCCUUUAGACCGAGGGCACGCUUUCUUGUGCGUCAC
rnacentral:rRNA from 1 species